GUGCUCACUUUGGCAGCACAUAUACUGAAAUUGGAACAGUACGGAGAAGACUAUCAUGGCCCUUGCACAAGGAUAACACACAAAUCUGUAAAGUGUUCCCUAUUUUC
ensembl:snRNA U6 U6 spliceosomal RNA